CUGUUCUCAGUGAAACGACACAAACACGUUGCUUCAGAACUGGCUAAGAGAUGGGCAUGGAGGAGGUUGGCUAGCUGGUUCAGCAUGAUUAGCACCCUUGGAAGCAGAAAGAGUUUUCACGGUGCCAUAUUGUCGGUGGUUUAAAGAGGAGAGAAUAAAGUUGCAUCAGCCGAAGCUCUCUGCAUCACGUGUGGUAAUUCCAAGUGGACAGCUACACUCACUCCUCUUCAGCCACUCUCUUCCUGAUCUCCACUCAAGUUGCCACACACAGGAAUCACAGGGAAGGGUCUUUA